GGCCCCGCCCCCGCCUUGCACGCGGCGCGCGGAUCUGCGCCUGUUCAGCCGGCGGCGCCCAUUCCGGCUGUGCGCAGCUGGCCGGGCCGAGCGCAGCGUUCCGUGAGCAAGGAUUGGGUCGGUGUGCAGCGCUGCGGCCGCCCCUUUGGCGCUAGAACUCGCGGAGGGACGGUGUGCUGGGCGGCUCUCGGCGUCCCAGCUUCCCUGCCUUCCCCUUCCCAAUUUUCCCAAGACUUCAACCUGAAAGGGUGUGAAGCUGAGUUUCUAGAGCCUUUGUCUCCAUGAGGAAGAGCCUGAGAAUAAAUUUAUCGUAAAGGAAAUGGAGCCUGACAAUAUCAUUGGAGCACCUGGAUCCAGCCAAGCCUGAAGCCACUAUGCGUUUUUAUCAGAUGUUCAUUAUGACCAUUUUUAUACUUCACUCCUGAAGGAUAUUUAGCUUGUUUUGAGGCUUCUGCUGAUACCAACGAUGGGACAGUGAACUUCCUGGGUUGAAGGUAGAUCUGCGUGUUCCCUUUUAUCAAGGACUGCACCACAACUACCGUGGAUUAAAGCACUCAUUACCCUACUUCCCCUUGAAGAAGGAAGGAGCUGGACACAAACUGCCAAAUGAGAAGGAUUCCUCAUCCAAGUGGGCUGCUGAGCCUCCGUGCUGCUUUAGGACUCCGUUCCCUGUGUGUCUCAUGGGGAGACAAUACCACCGGAAGGGCCCUCGCAAACUGGCUUCGGGAGAGACCUGCUCUGGGAGGCCUAGAGGGCAGGUCUGGGGUGACUAGUGGGAGUUUUGGGACGGAGGAAGGGUAGCGGUGCUAGGUGGCCGCAUCUCAGCUUCAGAGGGAAGCGGAUCUCCUUUUAUCUGUUCCUUGUGCUGGGUUUCUGAGUCCCUUGUACUUGUGGUAGGCUGAAAAAUGGCCCCUCAAGAGCUAUCCAUGUCAAAUCCUGGAAUCUGUGACUAUUACCUUAUUUGGAAAAGGGGACUUGGCAGAUGUAAUUAAA